AUGCAGGCCAACAAUUCCAAGGCCAUGAGUGCACGUGCUGAGGCCAUCAGGGCCCUCGUAAAGCCCAAGGAGGUUAAGCCCGAGAUCCCAAAGGGUGUCAGCUGCAAGCUUGAUCAACUUGCCUACAUUGCCCACUCCAAGCUUGGGAAGCGUGCUCGUCCCUGCAUUGCCAAGGGGCUCAGGCCCAAGGGAGGCCAGCACCUGCAAACAAGCCAGCAGAGCUAUCCACCAAGCAAUGGAAGAGUCUUAUCUCAUGACACGCUGAAUAACCCCAGGAAGUACCUUCACAGUGUAGGAGAUGGAGAGACUGUGGAGUUUGAUGCUGAAGGAGAAAAGGGUGCGGAGGCAGCAAAUGUUACAGGUCCUGGUGGCAUUCCAGUUCAAGGCAGUAAAUAUGCAGCAGACAGUAACCAUUAUAGACGCUAUCCACAUCGUAGGGGUCCUCCAGGCAAUUACCAGCAAAAUUACCAGAAUAGUGAGAGUGGGGAAAAGAACAAGGGGGUCAGAGAGUGCUCCCGAAGGCCAUGCCCAACAAUGCCGGCCCUACUACAGGCGAAGGUUCCCAAAUUACUACAUGCGGAGACCCUAUGGGCGUCGACCACAAUAUUCCAACCCUCCUGUGCAUGGAGAAGUGAUGGAGGGUGCUGACAACCAGGGUGCAGGAGAACAAGGCAGACCAGGGAGGCAGAAUAUGUAUGGGGGGUAUAGACCACGAUUUCGCAGGGGCCCUCCUCGCCAAAGACAGCCUAGAGAGGACGGCAAUGAAGAGGAUAAAGAAAAUCAAGGAGAUGAGACCCCAGGUCAGCAGCCACCUCAACGUCGGUACCGCCGCAACUUCAAUUACCAACGUAGACGCCCAGAAAACCCUAAACCACAAGAUGGCAAAGAGACAAAAGCAGCCGAUCCACCAGCUGAGAAUUCGUCCGCUCCCGAGGCUGAGCAGGACGGGGCUGAGUAAAUGCCGGCUUACCAUCUCUACCAUCAUCCGGUUUAUUCAUCCAACAAGAAGAAAUAAGAAAUUCCAGCAAUGAGAAAUGAACAAAAGAUUGGAGCUGAAGACUUUAAGUGCUUGCUUUUGCCCAUUGACCAGAUAAAUAGAACUAUCUGCAUUAUCUAUGCAGCAUGGGGUUUUUAUUAUUUUUACCUAAAGAUGUCUCUUUUUGGUAAUAACAAACGUGUUUUU